rnacentral:tRNA from 1 species
AAGGCUUUAGCUUAAUUAAACGUGUCUGUUUUGCAUACAGGAGCUGUGGGAUAGUGUCCCGCAAGUCUUA